AAGUAAUAGAAUAGGUGACUCAAGGGUGGUCGGCCAUUUCCCGUAAGAAGGGAGGUGGUCGCAUGUCAGUAUCUGAAGCGAUAAUGCUUAUGUUAACAUUUGGAGCAUUAGGGAAGGCAGUCUAAGAACGCGACGUCCUGUCGCAACGACUGCAUGACCCGCAUCCUGCGGGCCUCAAUACUGUCGUUCCACAAUAAAAAAUAAUCCAUCCUUGAGUGGGUAGCUCAUACUGGAUGGAUUAUUUUUAUCACCCGAGCCGAUCCCCCUGAAGGGAACCUGCUAUUACAGACCGUCUAAUGUUAGCGCAUUGGGCG
rnacentral:sRNA from 1 species